rnacentral:rRNA from 1 species
UACGUAGGGGGCAAGCGUUGUCCGGAUUUAUUGGGCGUAAAGAGCGUGUAGGCGGCCAGACAGGUCCGUUGUGAAAACUCGAGGCUCAACCUCGAGAUGUCAUCGGAAACUAUUCGGCUAGAGUCCGGAAGAGGAGAGUGGAAUUCCUGGUGUAGCGGUGAAAUGCGCAGAUAUCAGGAAGAACACCUAUGGCGAAAGCAGCUCUCUGGGACGGUACUGACGCUGAGACGCGAAAGCGUGGGGAGCGAACAGG